CCCUCUGGACUUUCCUAGGUUCCAUGCUAAACUCUUCUGUGAGUUCACUCUACCCCUCCUCCUCCCUCUAACUCUUGAGGUUAUCUCUUCGCUUGAAACCUUGCCUCUGGU
ensembl:misc_RNA